rnacentral:rRNA from 1 species
UGAGAGGGCGACCGGCCACACUGGGACUGAGACACGGCCCAGACUCCUACAGGAGGCAGCAGUGGGGAAUAUUGCGCAAUGGGCGGAAGCCUGACGCAGCGACGCCGCGGGGGGAUGACGGCCUUCGGGUUGUAAACCUCUUUCAGCAGGGACGAAGUUGACGUGUACCUGCAGAAGAAGCGCCGGCUAACUACGUGCCAGCAGCCGCGGUAAUACGUAGGGCGCAAGCGUUGUCCGGAAUUAUUGGGCGUAAAGAGCUCGUAGGUGGCUUGUCGCGUCGGAUGUGAAAGCUUGGGGCUUAACUCCAGGUCUGCAUUCGAUACGGGCUUGGCUAGAGGUAGGCAGGGGAGAACGGAAUUCCUGGUGUAGCGGUGAAAUGCGCAGAUAUCAGGAGGAACACCGGUGGCGAAGGCGGUUCUCUGGGCCUUACCUGACGCUGAGGAGCGAAAGCGUGGGGAGCGAACAGGAUUAGAUACCCUGGUAGUCCACGCCGUAAACGUUGGGCGCUAGGUGUGGGGACCUUCCACGGUUUCCGCGCCGUAGCUAACGCAUUAAGCGCCCCGCCUGGGGGUACGGCCGCAAGGCUAAAACUCAAAGGAAUUGACGGGGGCCCGCACAAGCGGCGGAGCAUGUUGCUUAAUUCGACGCAACGCGAAGAACCUUACCAAGGCUUGACAUCGCCCGGAAAGCUCUGGAGUACAGAGCCCUCUUCGGACUGGGUGACAGGUGGUGCAUGGCUGUCGUCAGCUCGUGUCGUGAGAUGUUGGGUUAAGUCCCGCAACGAGCGCAACCCUUGCUCCAUGUUGCCAGCACGCCCUUCGGGGUGGUGGCGAUUCAUGGGGGACUGCCGGGGUCAACUCGGAGGAAGGUGGGGAUGACGUCAAGUCAUCAUGCCCCUUAUGUAUUGGGCUGCAAACAUGCUACAAUGGCCGGUACAGAGGGUUGCGAUACCGUGAGGUGGAGCGAAUCCCUAAAAGCCGGUCUCAGUUCGGAUUGGGGUCUGCAACUCGACCCCAUGAAGUCGGAGUCGCUAGUAAUCGCAGAUCAGCAACGCUGCGGU